rnacentral:rRNA from 1 species
AUUGAACGCUGGCGGCAUGCCUUACACAUGCAAGUCGAACGGCAGCAUGAUCUAGCUUGCUAGAUUGAUGGCGAGUGGCGAACGGGUGAGUAAUACAUCGGAACGUGCCCUGUAGUGGGGGAUAACUAGUCGAAAGAUUAGCUAAUACCGCAUACGACCUGAGGGUGAAAGUGGGGGACCGCAAGGCCUCAUGCUAUAGGAGCGGCCGAUGUCUGAUUAGCUAGUUGGUGGGGUAAAGGCCCACCAAGGCGACGAUCAGUAGCUGGUCUGGAAGGACGAUCAGCCACACUGGGACUGAGACACGGCCCAGACUCCUACGGGAGGCAGCAGUGGGGAAUUUUGGACAAUGGGGGCAACCCUGAUCCAGCAAUGCCGCGUGUGUGAAGAAGGCCUUCGGGUUGUAAAGCACUUUUGUCCGGAAAGAAAUCGCACUUACUAAUAUUAGGUGUGGAUGACGGUACCGGAAGAAUAAGGACCGGCUGACUACGUGCCAGCCGCCGCCGUAA